UAUCAUUCCCACUUUUUUUUUCUUACUUGAUUAAUUCAGCUUAAAUGACUUCAUUAAAAGUGUGUCAAUUAACUCAAUCAAAUUUACUUAUCAGUUCUGAAUUGUUAUCUCAAGCAAUUUUUGGCUUUCGUUGGUGAGUUUGUAAAGAUAUACUUAAUGCGCUAUACUUACACUACCGAACUAAUCAACUUCCCACAACUGAAAGACACAAUAUACAACAAUUGGUGGGUUAGUUUGUCAGGCGAUUUCGGGCAGGGAGAAAAAAAAAUCUGGCAUCCUUAACUGCUCAGAUCCGCUUGGAUCUGGGCAGUACCAGUCUUAAACAUCAUAUAUUAGCUUAGAUUUAUUACUCUAGUAAAGAAAUCAGGAAAAUAAAAGCCUAAACCUAACAUCAAUCUUCACCUUUAAACCCUAAAUCGCCGCCAUGGAUUUAGCAGACCUCAUAGGCUAAAUCCUCGAUUCAUCGACCCUUCAAAUUCAUUUAGGUUGAUUGCUUGCUAGUUUAUUGUGAUACCCCGUAUUUACAGAAGAUUUUAGAGGUUCCAACUUGUGCUUCUUGAUGGGAUUGAAUUCAAUCGAAGUUUUAUCGAUUAUUAUCUUCAUCAAUAACAUAUCCAACCUUGGUUCCAGAUGCUAUAAUCACUCCAUUUUUGAGUUAUGAGUUUUCUGCUUUGUGUAGGUUGUUAGCUGUUCUUGCUUUUGCGUCUGAUUCCUUUCCUUUGAAAGUUGUCUUGGGCUGGUGAAGCCCCAUCUCCCCUGUUUUUUUUCCGGUUGUUUACCUCUUGAAUGUGUUGUUUGAACGCUGUAAGGUAAUUGUCUAAAACUACCAGUUAAUUUCAGUGUUAAGUUUUGGUUUAGGUGUGUACUGGUGUUGGUGGUUAUCCUAUCGUGUUUUUCCUCUCAGUGCCUUGUCUAUUUUAGCUUUGUGUUACUUUGUUAUUUGUGUUUUUGAACUCAAUUCUGUUUGCUAAGGUUUAAUUGGCUCCUUUUGUUUGUCAGUUUUCUUCCUAGGACGUGGAGCUUUCUUAUAAUUGAUUUCUGAUCUAGAUAGGACCUUUUGAUGGCUAAUUUUGAACUGGAUUUACCUUUUUUAGUCUCUGGGAUAACAUUAUUAAUUGAUCUUUAACCUUGACAUCCACUGAGAACAACAUUAUUGGUUUCAUGCUCAGCAUAAUACCUCUUCUGCACCAAUAUCACUCAGCCAAAGGAUUUCAAUUCCUAACCCCAUCUAUAUUGGCAGUGCUUAACUGCAUCUUCACAAUUAUGCUCAUAACUCCAUGGUUGGAUAAUUGUUAACCUUGGUUUACCUCUUGCGGAACAGUAAAAAGCCUGCUCGGUGACUCUAUCACCUAGUUCUCUACUAUAAUUUUGUCAUCUAAGUCUUGACCAAGUUGGAAUUUUGGUCACUUUAAGCGGCACAAUCAGCAGGUUGGAAAUCUAAGUUAUAAUCCCGGGAGUGUAUCGUAGCUUCAACGUUUCUUUGUAUCUCAACAGCAAGAAAAACUUAUUUGGUAUGCGAAUGGAUCGAUGAAUCCGACACCUUUAAUUAAGUCUUUGUCAGUUUCUUUGUUUUUUAGUUUUUCAGCAAAAUUUAGUGUAACUGAAGUUUGUAUUUCCUUUUCGUUCCUUUUCAGUUUAGUAUAUUUUAGUUCUUUAGCAGUAGUAGGUUUAAUAGUUGUAAGUGUGCUUGUAUUUUGAUAUUAGUUUUAAUAAUCUCUGUAAUAGCACUA